rnacentral:hammerhead_ribozyme from 1 species
AUUCAGCUGAAGAGUCCCAAAUAGGACGAAACUUGUGCCCUUGAU